GGAGAGAUGACUGAGAGGCCGAAAGUGGCAGAUUGCUAAUCUGUUGUAGGGGUUAACCCUACCGAGGGUUCGAAUCCCUCUCUCUCCG
rnacentral:tRNA from 1 species